rnacentral:rRNA from 1 species
AUUGAACGCUGGCGGCAGGCCUAACACAUGCAAGUCGAACGAGUGGCGGACGGGUGAGUAAUGUCUGUGAAACUGCCUGUUGGAGGGGGAUAACUCCUGGAAACGGUAGCUAAUACCGCAUACCAUCAGAUGUGCCCAGAUGGGAUUAGCUUGUUGGUGGGGUAACGGUUCCCCAAGGCAACGAUCCCUAGCUGGUCUGAAAGGAUGACCAGCCACACUGGAACGACGACACGGUCCAGACUCCUACGGGAGGCAGCAGUGGGAAGUAUUGCACAAUGGGCGCAAGCCUGAUGCAGCCAUGCCGCGUGUAUGAAGAAGGCCUUCGGGUUGUAAAGUACUUUCAGCGGGGAGGCGUUACCCGCAGAAGAAGCACCGGCUAACUCCGUGCCAGCAGCCGCGGUAAUUC